rnacentral:misc_RNA from 1 species
GAAAUGCGAUACGCAAUGCGAAUUGCAGAAUUCCGCGAGUCAUCAGAUCUUUGAACGCAAGUGGCGCUGGCGUCCAACCGCCAGCAUGCCUGUCUCAGUGUGCGAGGAAUCACACAGCACAAUGCGAUUGACGGGGGAAAGCUUGCUCUCUCCCCUCUCUCUUUAAACUCGGAAUCGCCGAGCGAUUAUGCGCGGCCCUGAACGAAGUAGUCACUUCUUCGGAAAGUGAUCUCGUUUCGGGGAUAACCGGCGGCGCUCACUACAAGGCGUAUUCGAUACAUUUUACUUACUCUCCACCACACCUGAGAUCAGACAAGAUCACCCGCUGAACUUAA